CCUAGGGGGGGCAGCAGUGGGGAAUAUUGGACAAUGGGCGAAAGCCUGAUCCAGCCAUGCCGCGUGUGUGAAGAAGGCCUUCGGGUUGUAAAGCACUUUCAGUGGGGAAGAAAGCCUUGGGGCUAAUACCCUCGAGGAAGGACAUCACCCACAGAAGAAGCACCGGCUAACUCCGUGCCAGCAGCCGCGGUAAUACGGAGGGUGCGAGCGUUAAUCGGAAUUACUGGGCGUAAAGCGCGCGUAGGCGGUCUGAUAAGCCGGUUGUGAAAGCCCCGGGCUCAACCUGGGAACGGCAUCCGGAACUGUCAGGCUAGAGUGCAGGAGAGGAAGGUAGAAUUCCCGGUGUAGCGGUGAAAUGCGUAGAGAUCGGGAGGAAUACCAGUGGCGAAGGCGGCCUUCUGGACUGACACUGACGCUGAGGUGCGAAAGCGUGGGUAGCAAACAGGAUUAGAUACCCCGGUAGUC
rnacentral:rRNA from 1 species